rnacentral:rRNA from 1 species
UGGGGAAUAUUGGACAAUGGGCGAAAGCCUGACGGAGCGACACCGCGUGCAGGACGAAGGCCCUCGGGUUGUAAACUGCUGUCACGCUCUAGGAAUGCCAUGUCGUUAAUAGCGGCAUGGUUGACCAAGGCGAAAGGAAGUGGCGGCUAACUCUGUGCCAGCAGCCGCGGUAAGACAGAGGCCACGAACGUUGUUCGGAAUCACUGGGCAUAAAGCGCACGUAGGCGGCUAGGUCCGUCCAAUGUGAAAGCCCCCGGCUCAACCGGGGAAUUGCAUCGGAUACAGCCUGGCUUGAGGACGGUUGGGGUGAGUGGAACUCCUGGUGGAGCGGUGAAAUGCGUAGAUAUCAGGAGGAACACCGGUGGUGUAGACGGCUUUCUGGACCAUUACUGACGCUGAGGCACGAAAGCGUGGGGAGCAAACAGGAUUAGAUACCCGCGUAGUCCCUGAGCGGGCUGGCAAGGCGCAU